CUACGGGUGGCAGCAGUGGGGAAUAUUGCACAAUGGGCGCAAGCCUGAUGCAGCCAUGCCGCGUGUAUGAAGAAGGCCUUCGGGUUGUAAAGUACUUUCAGCGGGGAGGAAGGGAGUAAAGUUAAUACCUUUGCUCAUUGACGUUACCCGCAGAAGAAGCACCGGCUAACUCCGUGCCAGCAGCCGCGGUAAUACGGAGGGUGCAAGCGUUAAUCGGAAUUACUGGGCGUAAAGCGCACGCAGGCGGUUUGUUAAGUCAGAUGUGAAAUCCCCGGGCUCAACCUGGGAACUGCAUCUGAUACUGGCAAGCUUGAGUCUCGUAGAGGGGGGUAGAAUUCCAGGUAUAGCGGUGAAAUGCGUAGAGAUCUGGAGGAAUACCGGUGGCGAAGGCGGCCCCCUGGACGAAGACUGACGCUCAGGUGCGAAAGCGUGGGGAGCAAACAGGAUUAGAUACCCUAGUAGUC
rnacentral:rRNA from 1 species